rnacentral:tRNA from 1 species
UUGAGUGUAGUUCAGUGGUAGAUCACCUGCUUCCCAAGCACAAAGCCCUGGGUCAGAUCUCCAGCACAGAAA